rnacentral:rRNA from 1 species
AUUGAACGCUGGCGGCAGGCCUAACACAUGCAAGUCGAGCGGAGCGGCGGACGGGUGAGUAAUGCCUAGGAAUCUGCCUGGUAGUGGGGGAUAACGUCCGGAAACGGGCGCUAAUACCGCAUAAUAUCAGAUGAGCCUAGGUCGGAUUAGCUAGUUGGGGGGGUAAAGGCCUACCAAGGCUACGAUCCGUAACUUGUCUGAGAGGAUGAUCCGUCAUAAUGGAACUGAGACAAGGUCCAGACUCCUCAGGGAGGCAGAAGUGGGGAAGAUGGGACAAUGGGCGAAAGCCUGAUCCAGACAUGCCGCGUGUGUGAAGAAGGUCUUCGGAUUGUAAAGCACUUUAAGUUGUGAGGCGUUACCAACAGAAUAAGCACCGGCUAACUUCGAGCCAGCAGCCGCGGUAAUAC